rnacentral:rRNA from 1 species
AUGAACGCUAGCUACAGGCUUAACACAUGCAAGUCGAGGGGAAACGACAUCGAAAGCUUGCUUUUGAUGGGCGUCGACCGGCGCACGGGUGAGUAACGCGUAUCCAACCUGCCCAUCACUUGGGAAUAACCUUGCGAAAGUAAGACUAAUACCCAAUGACAUCCCACGAAGACAUCUGAAUGGGAUUAAAGAUUUAUCGGUGAUGGAUGGGGAUGCGUCUGAUUAGCUUGUUGGCGGGGUAACGGCCCACCAAGGCAACGAUCAGUAGGGGUUCUGAGAGGAAGGUCCCCCACAUUGGAACUGAGACACGGUCCAAACUCCUACGGGAGGCAGCAGUGAGGAAUAUUGGUCAAGGGGCGAGAGCCUGAACCAGCCAAGUAGCGUGCAGGAUGACGGCCCUAUGGGUUGUAAACUGCUUUUAUAAGGGAAUAAAGUGGGUCUCGUGAGACUUUUUGCAUGUACCUUAUGAAUAAGGACCGGCUAAUUCCGUA